UUGUCUCAAAGAUUAAGCCAUGCAUGUCUCAGUACAAGCCAAAUUAAGGUGAAACCGCGAAAGGCUCAUUAAAUCAGUUAUGGUUCCUUAGAUCGUACCAACGUUACUUGGAUAACUGUGGUAAUUCUAGAGCUAAUACAUGCAAACAGAGCUCCGACCGGAGACGGAAGGAGCGCUUUUAUUAGAUCAAAACCAAUCGGUGGCGGUUUCCGCUGUCAUCGUACAAUUUGGUGACUCUGAAUAACUUUACGCUGAUCGCACGGUCUUGCACCGGCGACGCAUCUUUCAAAUGUCUGCCUUAUCAACUGUCGAUGGUAGGUUCUGCGCCUACCAUGGUUGUAACGGGUAACGGGGAAUCAGGGUUCGAUUCCGGAGAGGGAGCCUGAGAAACGGCUACCACAUCCAAGGAAGGCAGCAGGCGCGCAAAUUACCCACUCCCGGCACGGGGAGGUAGUGACGAAAAAUAACGAUACGGGACUCAUCCGAGGCCCCGUAAUCGGAAUGAGUACACUCUAAACCCUUUAACGAGGAUCAAUUGGAGGGCAAGUCUGGUGCCAGCAGCCGCGGUAAUUCCAGCUCCAAUAGCGUAUAUUAAAGUUGUUGCGGUUAAAAAGCUCGUAGUCGAAUCUGUGUCCCGCGCCGCCGGUUCAUCGUUCGCGGUGUUAACUGGCGUGUCGCGGGACGUCCUGCCGGUGGGCUUAGCUCGCAAGGGCGGCCCAACUCAAUCCCGCCGCGGUGCUCUUCAUUGAGUGUCGAGGUGGGCCGGCACGUUUACUUUGAACAAAUUAGAGUGCUUAAAGCAGGCUAAAACUUUGCCUGAAUACUGUGUGCAUGGAAUAAUGGAAUAGGACCUCGGUUCUAUUUUGUUGGUUUUCGGAACCCCGAGGUAAUGAUUAAUAGGAACGGAUGGGGGCAUUCGUAUUGCGACGUUAGAGGUGAAAUUCUUGGAUCGUCGCAAGACGGACAGAAGCGAAAGCAUUUGCCAAAAACGUUUUCAUUGAUCAAGAACGAAAGUUAGAGGUUCGAAGGCGAUCAGAUACCGCCCUAGUUCUAACCAUAAACGAUGCCAGCUAGCGAUCCGCCGACGUUCCUCCGAUGACUCGGCGGGCAGCUUCCGGGAAACCAAAGCUUUUGGGUUCCGGGGGAAGUAUGGUUGCAAAGCUGAAACUUAAAGGAAUUGACGGAAGGGCACCACCAGGAGUGGAGCCUGCGGCUUAAUU
rnacentral:rRNA from 1 species